GAUCCUGGCUCAGGACGAACGCUGGCGGCGUGCUUAACACAUGCAAGUCGAACGAGAAUCUGUGGAACGAGGAUUUCGUCCAAGUGAAGCAGAGGACAGUGGCGGACGGGUGAGUAACGCGUGAGGAACCUGCCUUUCAGAGGGGGACAACAGUUGGAAACGACUGCUAAUACCGCAUAACACAUGGGUGUCGCAUGGCACUGAUGUCAAAGAUUUAUCGCUGAAAGAUGG
rnacentral:rRNA from 1 species